CAAAUCAUUCCUACCACCUGUCAUCUCAUGCCUGUCUAUUCCACGUGUGACAGAAAUCCCUAUGACUAAGAGUGUUAGGCAUCAGCCAUUUUUCUAACUUUGAGCAUAUGAUGGACAAUCCUCUGUCAUUUUCUGUGGCAGUUGUUUGUGAUCUGCCUGAGCUUUGUUGAUGAUAUGCUGACCGAGAAUAUAUUUACUUGUCAUCUGUUUUCGUUUCUAAAUCACUCUAAGACUACAUAUAUACUCUUUUUGUUUUUAACAUGUACAAAUCUAUCUUGUGGGUCUGGGCUACCUGCUUUUUGCUGAUGAUGGAAGUUUGAGAGGAGUCAGCCCAAUUCCCCAGCUUCAGUAGCCCCGGGUUCUCUGGGGUUACGUAAGCUCGCUGGCUUCUGUAGUAGGGCAGAAAUGGCAGACUUUCCCCUGCAUGAUGCUUCCAUUUCCCAAACGACAGGAUCACAGCACUAUCCCACUGGCUAUGAUUUUGAGGCGGGAAGAUAUUCAGCUACCACUUACAAUGUGUGCGACUAUAAACAGGUGCUUCCCAUUAGCGGUGUUUCCCAUGCUAGCCUGUGCUUAAUUACUUAACCAGUUGUACGGACAAAGGCAACCUGUAUGGUUAAUAUCACAGACACUUUAGCAGCUGCCAGAGC
rnacentral:lncRNA from 1 species